rnacentral:rRNA from 1 species
GCGUUGUCCGGAGUUACUGGGCGUAAAGGGCACGCAGGCGGUCGGGUAAGUUUGGAGUGACAAUCCUCGGCUUAACUGAGGAGGGUCUUCGAAGACUGCCCGACUUGAGGGCUCACGAGGGACACGGAAUUCCGGGUGGAGUGGUGAAAUGCGUAGAGAUCCGGAGGAACACCAAAGGCGAAGGCAGUGUCCUGGGGAGUACCUGACGCUCAGGUGCGAAAGCCAG